rnacentral:rRNA from 1 species
AUUGAACGCUGGCGGCAGGCCUAACCCAUGCAAGUCGAACGAGUGGCGGACGGGUGAGUAAUGUCUGGGAAACUGCCUGAUGGAGGGGGAUAACUACUGGAAACGGUAGCUAAUACCGCAUACCAUCAGAUGUGCCCAGAUGGGAUUAGCUAGGUGGUGGGGGAACGGCUGACCACGGCGACGAUCCCUAGCUGGUGUGAGAGGAUGACCAGAAAAACCGUAACUGAGACACGGUCCAGCCUCCUACGGGAGGCAGCAGUGGGGAAUAUUGAACAGUGGGCGAAAGCCUGAUGCAGCCAGGCCGCGUGUAUGAAGAAGGCCUUCGGGUUGUAAAGUACUUGCAGCGGGGAUGCGUUACCCGCAGAAGAAGCACCGGCUAACUCCGUGCCAGCAGCCGCGGUAAUAC